GACGAACGCUGGCGGCGUGCUUAACACAUGCAAGUCGAACGGAAAGGCCCUGCUUGCAGGGUGCUCGAGUGGCGAACGGGUGAGUAACACGUGGGUGAUCUGCCCCUUACUUUGGGAUAAGCCUGGGAAACUGGGUCUAAUACUGGAUAGGACCAUGCUGUAGGUGGUGUGGUGGAAAGAUUAGUUUCGGUAAGGGAUGAGCUCGCGGCCUAUCAGCUUGUUGGUGGGGUAAUGGCCUACCAAGGCGUCGACGGGUAGCCGGCCUGAGAGGGUGGACGGCCACAUUGAGACUGCGAUACGGCCCAGACUCCUACGGUAGGCGGCAGUGGGGAAUAUUGCACUAUGGGCGCAAGCCUGAUGCAGCGAAGCCGCGUGGGGGAUGACGGCCUUCGGGUUGUAAACUCCUUUCAGCCAUGACGAAGCCCUUGUGGUGACGGUAGUGGUAGAAGAAGCACCGGCUAACUACGUG
rnacentral:rRNA from 1 species